CCACUCUCUCCACGCUCUCCGACUCUCCAUUUUUCCGGAAAGCAAAAUAUGUACUCGUAUUUGAUGGAGAAGGAGAAGGAGAUUGGAUACAGAUGCAUGACACAGCUGCCACAGAAGUUCAGAAUACAUUACACAACGGACGGAUGCUUCGAGCUGUCAAUUGUGAGGGAUGCUGUGAUGCUGUCAUUCCCAUCGAUCCAACGAUCCAGCAGAAGAACCCAUUCUAUCAUUGCAGAGAUCAGAUCAGAACAGCAGUUCAAGGAGGGGUCACGGCACG